GCCGGAAUGGCGGAAUUGGUAGACGCGCUAGGUUCAGGGUCUAGUCUCGGUUUCGGGGUGCCGGUUCGAGUCCGGCUUUCGGCA
rnacentral:tRNA from 1 species